GUGUUGUCAAAACUGCCUGAGUGAUAAUGAAAACCACCGCAAGGAGGAGGACCCCACCAGGUCCUAUGGUGACAGACUCUUUCAGGAGUUAUCUACAAUAGGAAGGAGAAAAGCCAGAUGCCUAGCUUGUCACAUCUGAUACCACGUUCUUCAGGAUCAAGCUUUUCCCAAACAGCAAGCUCAGGUGACCUCGGUGCUGUGGACUCACCCCUAAGUCCGCAAAUGGCCCAUCGAGCAGAGCUAACUGGGCCACGCGGCAGCGGUCCCUAUUGGCCAGUGUCUGCGGGGUGCUGUAGCCACCUCUAAGGGCGUUCUCCUCAGCAAUCAGAGCCUCCAGCUCCGGCGUGGCUCCUCCGGUCACCAGGGUCCGUAUCAGGGUGAGGAUAUUGUCAUUGAAGUAUGUCUGGGGAAGGAGAGAAAGUGGGGAAAAGUCCUUUAAGCAAACACCCUAAAGUCAUGACAGCCGACAUCCAAAUUACAACUUUUCUUGGUAUCUCCUGUUUAAAGUUCUGGCCUGUCUCUUCAAAUAAUUUCAUGUGGGAAGUGAAAAGACAGCAGCCUCCAAUUAUUCCAUUAUUUUCUCUCUUGCUUGGCUCUGCUACGACAGCCUGACUUAAAAAACCCAGUUCAGGGGAUUUUUUAGUAAAGGGCUCAAAUCUGAAUAAUUAGUGUUUGCCAUAAUUGGUUUUAGUAGGGAUACAAAUAUUGCCUCCCCCUCCUCAAGUCUACGUGUCUACUAUGAGACUCUGGACACAUGUAAUAAAAUGCAGCCUGCCCCAGCUACUAACCCAAGCAGCAUUGUCUCUGAGGCCCUGUCAUCCACGUGCCAGGAAGCUUCCUCCCCACGACAAUGGCAAAACCUUUCAUUAAUGCCACACGCUCAACAAUUUACCACAUGCGUUGAUAACUGUCUAACUCAGAAAUCUCGAUCAAUUAAAUAUGCCAGAUAAAUUUA